rnacentral:lncRNA from 1 species
GUGAUGGCGCCGGGCGAAUCCGCUCGGAGUUUGCACCGGGUUUGCUUUUCUGUCCCCACAAUGGGAUGGCACAACGUGGCCUCCCUGCUCUUUUUGGGGUUCCAAAUCAGCCCCAAAUCUGCAUCAAUUCAGCCCAAAAUCUUCCCCCAAAUCAGUCCCAAAUCUGCCCCUUUGUCCCCAAAAUGGGAUGGCACAAUGUGUCCCCCCUGCUGUUUUUGGGGUUCCAAAUCAGUCCCAAACGUGCAUCAAUUCAGUCCCAAAUCAGUCCCAAAUCUGCCCUUUUGUACCCAAAACUGAAUGGCACAAUGUGUCCUCUCUGCUCUUUUUGGGGUUCCAAAUCUCCUACAAUUCAGCCCCAAAUAUGCAUCAAUUUAGUCUGAAAUCAACCCCAAAUCUGCACCAAUUCAGCCCCUUUGUCCCCAAAAUGUGAUGGCACAAUGUGUCCUUUCUUUCUCUUUUUUGGGGUUCCAAAUCAGCUCCAAA